GUGGGGAAUCUUAGACAAUGGGGGAAACCCUGAUCUAGCCAUGCCGCGUGAGCGAUGAAGGCCUUAGGGUUGUAAAGCUCUUUCAGCUGGGAAGAUAAUGACUGUACCAGCAGAAGAAGCCCCGGCUAACUCCGUGCCAGCAGCCGCGGUAAUACGGAGGGGGCUAGCGUUGUUCGGAAUUACUGGGCGUAAAGCGCACGUAGGCGGACCGGAAAGUCAGAGGUGGAAUCCCAGGGCUCAACCUUGGAACUGCCUUUGAAACUCCUGGUCUUGAGGUCGAGAGAGGUGAGUGGAAUUCCGAGUGUAGAGGUGAAAUUCGUAGAUAUUCGGAGGAACACCAGUGGCGAAGGCGGCUCACUGGCUCGAUACUGACGCUGAGGUGCGAAAGCGUGGGGAGCAAACAGGAUUAGAAACCCCUGUAGUCC
rnacentral:rRNA from 1 species